CGCGAUGCAGAGAUGAAUGCGCGGCCACCGGAGGGUUUGGAGGAGUGGGGAACGUCCUUUCGUCAAAUAUGAUGCGGGCAGAAGGGCGAAGUAAGGCCCGGAGAGGGGAGAGACCGGAGGCAGGGAGGUCAAUGAGGAGGCCGAUGCAGGACUCAAGGUGGCAUAGGAUACGCGCCGUGGAUCAACGAGAACUGCUACAGAACCCUUAGUCCUGGAAGACGCUGCCUGGUUCAGCUUCCCAGCCCCCCAGCCCAGGACUCUGUCUCCAACGAGGGCACCAGGAUGCUUGGAGAAUCCUGCAGGACACCCACCCUCGUGGCUGGAAAUGGAUCGGCCAGCGCCUCUGACUCUCCCCUCUCCAUCUCUGACUAUUCUGGUGAACCAUCUUGGACCUUCCAACACUCCUGACUCUCCCCUUCCCGGCCCAGAUUCACAUUUGGAAGACCGAGAUAGUGACUCUUCCCCACCUUCAAAGCCUUACCAAAGGCAUAUCUCCUCCAAGAGGCCUUCUCUGACUGUUGCCCUCAUUUCCUCUUCUUCGACUCCCUUCUACAUUGCCUUUGCACUUGAAUUUGCUCCCUUUAUUCACCACUCCCUCAGUCCCACAGCAUUUAUAUACUUAUGCAUAAAGUAUUUAUUUAUUUUA